AAUCCUGAGGACAUCCGACGGAUGUCCUAUUUACAUCUAAUGGACGUAUUUAGGAUGUUCUAUAUUCGUCCCAAGGACAUACCAAGUACAUCUUUAGAAUGUCCGAACCGGACGUAAAACGGAUAUUAUUUGGACACAUAAUAGCCUCAUAUAUGACGUCUGGAAUGUCUUUCGGACGUUCUAUUGUUGUGAUUUAAUGCGACGUCCGGAUAACAUACUUUGGACAUCCCGCGGACAUCCAAAAUAUGAGGACAUAAACAGGACUUUUCAGGACACAUAUAAGACAUCCGAAGGACGUCCGUGUGUUGUGUGGGUUGAAUUCUAAUGAAAGUAUAUUAGACAUUGAACAGCCUUCUGUAACUGUUGGACGCCAUCUCCAUCAAUUAUAUGGGAAAGACUAUAACGAAGAGGGAGAACAGGUGAUAUUGCUACGAGAUGUUUACUGUAAAUCUUCAACCUUGACUUUUGCUCUUGGCUCUUCGUCAAAAACUACACAUUUUGUUCGAAAACUGGUGCUUGGAGUAUACAAAAAAGAAAUUUUCAAAAAAGGACAAAAUCAGGUUACUUUAACAGGAUUUGCAUCUCGUUCUUUAGGAAAAACACCUGAAAGUAAAUAUUACAGUAUCGAUCCCGUAGCUAAGUCGGCAAUAAUAAAAUAUGCAAAAGCUGUGGGAAAGAAAACAAAUUGGCCAUAUGUUCAUACUAAGGAUUUAGAAAGAACCUUAUCUCAAAGAAUAGUUUGUCUUACUUGGAGGCAGUAAUACGAGAAACGUUAAGAAUUGAAACAAUCACAGUUAGCACAGUUCAUAGAUGUGCAAGAAAAACUACUUUAGGCGGCUAUGAAAUACCUGAAAACACUCCAAUUUUCAUUAACUUGGCAGCGAUACAUCAUGAUUCUGACUUGUGGGGCGAUCCUGAAGUUUUUAGACCGGAAAGAUUUCUGAAGGAAGAUGGGCAAUUAGCCAAAGAUUUUUAACUUUUUUUGGUUUUGGUCAUCAAUUAUGUCCAGGUCAGCCAUUGAGCCUCGAGGAUAAGGAUUCGGGUACAGUCGUCCUUCCCAAAGAUCUAUGGAUACGCUUCGAAUCACGUUAAUAUUCGUUAUUUAAUUAUUUUAUCGACAAGCAAUCUUUGAAAUCAAGCAACGUCGGCCUAAAUAUACUAUAAAGAAAAUUGGAAAGAUAUCUAUCAUAUCCAAAACAUAUGAGUAAACCUCACAAUAAUUUGUCUUACUUGGAGGCAGUAAUACGAGAAACGUUAAGAAUUGAAACAAUCACAGUUAGCACAGUUCAUAGAUGUGCAAGAAAAACUACUUUAGGCGGCUAUGAAAUACCUGAAAACACUCCAAUUUUCAUUAACUUGGCAGCGAUACAUCAUGAUUCUGACUUGUGGGGCGAUCCUGAAUUUUUUAGACCGGAAAGAUUUCUGAAGGAAGAUGGGCAAUUAGCCAAAGAUUUUUAACUUUUUUUGGUUUUGGUCAUCAAUUAUGUCCAGGUCAGCCAUUGAGCCUCGAGGAUAAGGAUUCGGGUACAGUCGUCCUUCCCAAAGAUCUAUGGAUACGCUUCGAAUCACGUUAAUAUUCGUUAUUUAAUUAUUUUAUCGACAAGCAAUCUUCGAAAUCAAGCAACGUCGGCCUAAAUAUACUAUAAAGAAAAUUGGAAAGAUAUCUAUCAUAUCCAAAACAUAUGAGUAAACCUCACAAUAAUUUGUCUUACUUGGAGGCAGUAAUACGAGAAACGUUAAGAAUUGAAACAAUCACAGUUAGCACAGUUCAUAGAUGUGCAAGAAAAACUACUUUAGGCGGCUAUGAAAUACCUGAAAACACUCCAAUUUUCAUUAACUUGGCAGCGAUACAUCAUGAUUCUGACUUGUGGGGCGAUCCUGAAUUUUUUAGACCGGAAAGAUUUCUGAAGGAAGAUGGGCAAUUAGCCAAAGAUUUUUAACUUUUUUUGGUUUUGGAUUUCCACCGCAGUUGACUACGCUCGGUCAAACGAUGUCACUGUUUCCGUUAGACCCUCGAUUUACCAAAGUGAUCCUCGCGUCGGUGGAACACAGGUGUCUGGAGGAAGCAUUGACGGUUAUCGCUUUAUUAUCAGGAGAAUCGAUUUUCAUGGACCCACCU
rnacentral:misc_RNA from 1 species